AUGAACACGUGCACUUUGUGUCUUUCUUGGAUCAGCUGCUGUUUGAUAUCAAGCCUUCUAAAGUGCUGCUGUAGCACCAGUCCAAACAACCCCACACUCAUCAGAUUUUCCCUCUGGCUUUAUCCCUGCAGCAGGUGUCCAUCACAGACAAAAAAGAAAAGGAGGGAAAAGGCAAGAAGAGCCUGUCAGAAAAAUGGAAGGAGAAGCUGGAGCCAGUCCUGGUCAGUCCCCCUUUAGAAAAUCCUGUUUAGUGUGACUUGAACUGGCAGGUGAGGGAGCUUCACUCUGAGGCCUGCACAGUGUGGGGCUUUGGCAGUUUUCUGCAGGUUUGCUAGUGAAACUGACUUUGACAGAAGGAGAUGGAAAACAAUUCAAAAGGACAAAGCCGCAAAUGAGGUAAUAGGAAAAUAAAAUGAUGAGAAGAGGAAAGAACCUCUGAAAG
rnacentral:lncRNA from 1 species